rnacentral:rRNA from 1 species
UAGGGAAUCUUCCGCAAUGGACGCAAGUCUGACGGAGCAACGCCGCGUGAGUGAAGAAGGAUUUCGGUUCGUAAAACUCUGUUGUUAGAGAAGAACAGCGCAUAGAGUAACUGUUAUGCGAGUGACGGUAUCUAACCAGAAAGCCACGGCUAACUACGUGCCAGCAGCCGCGGUAAUACGUAGGUGGCAAGCGUUGUCCGGAUUUAUUGGGCGUAAAGCGAGCGCAGGCGGUCAAUUAAGUCUGAUGUGAAAGCCCCCGGCUCAACCGGGGAGGGUCAUUGGAAACUGGUUGACUUGAGUGCAGAAGAGGAGAGUGGAAUUCCAUGUGUAGCGGUGAAAUGCGUAGAUAUAUGGAGGAACACCAGUGGCGAAGGCGACUCUCUGGUCUGUAACUGACGCUGAGGCUCGAAAGCGUGGGUAGCAAACAGG